rnacentral:misc_RNA from 1 species
GAUGAAGAACGUAGCGAAAUGCGAUACUUGGUGUGAAUUGCAGAAUCCCGUGAACCAUCGAGUCUUUGAACGCAAGUUGCGCCCGAAGCCAUCAGGUUGAGGGCACGUCUGCCUGGGCGUCACAUAUCGUUGCCCAAUGCCUAUUGCAGUGCAAUAGGAAUUUCUAGGGCGAAUGAUGGCUUCCCGUGAGCGUUGUUGCCUCGCGGUUGGUUGAAAAUCGAGUCCUUGGUAGGGUGUGCCAUGGUAGAUGGUGGUCGAGUUAGAACGAUACCGAUCAUGUGCAUGCUCCCCAAAAUAUGGCCUCUAUGACCCAUACGCGUCUUUUGACGCUCAUGACGAGACCUCAGGUCAGGCGGGGCUACCCGCUGAAUUUAAGCAUAUCAAUAAGCGGAGGA